rnacentral:rRNA from 1 species
UGGGGAAUAUUGGACAAUGGGCGAAAGCCUGAUCCAGCCAUGCCGCUUGUGUGAAGAAGGUCUUCGGAUUGUAAAGCACUUUAAGUUGGGAGGAAGGGCAUUAACCUAAUACGUUAGUGUUUUGACGUUACCGACAGAAUAAGCACCGGCUAACUCUGUGCCAGCAGCCGCGGUAAUACAGAGGGUGCAAGCGUUAAUCGGAAUUACUGGGCGUAAAGCGCGCGUAGGUGGUUUGUUAAGUUGGAUGUGAAAGCCCCGGGCUCAACCUGGGAACUGCAUCCAAAACUGGCAAGCUAGAGUACGGUAGAGGGUGGUGGAAUUUCCUGUGUAGCGGUGAAAUGCGUAGAUAUAGGAAGGAACACCAGUGGCGAAGGCGACCACCUGGACUGAUACUGACACUGAGGUGCGAAAGCGUGGGGAGCAAACA